GGAGGGGACAGCUCAGUGGUAGAGCACAUGCUUAGCAUGCACGAGGUCCUGGGUUUGAUCCCCAGUACUUCCU
rnacentral:tRNA from 1 species